UACGUAGGGUGCGAGCGUUAAUCGGAAUUACUGGGCGUAAAGCGUGCGCAGGCGGCUUCGCAAGUCAGGCGUGAAAUCCCCGGGCUUAACCUGGGAAUGGCGUCUGAAACUACGGAGCUGGAGUGUGGCAGAGGGAGGUAGAAUUCCACGUGUAGCGGUGAAAUGCGUAGAUAUGUGGAGGAAUACCGGUGGCGAAGGCGGCAUCCUGGACCGGCAUUGACGCUGAUGAGCGAAAGCUAGGGGAGCAAACGGG
rnacentral:rRNA from 1 species